rnacentral:lncRNA from 1 species
CUUGAAUAUCAUUAUAGAUAGAGAUUAACUGUAAACAGCAAUAAUGUUCAGCAAAGUAAGAUCUACAAAUAAGUCAACAUGACCAAAAUGGUCAGUUGACCACUUUAGGAGUUAUUGCCCUUUAUAGUCAAUUUUUAACCAUUUUUCGUAAAUCUUAGUAAUCUUUUAGAAAAAUCUUCUCCUCUGAAACUACUGGGCCAAAUUUAACCAAACUUAGCCAUAAUCAUCAUUGGGGUAUCUAGUUAAAAAUAUGUGUCCGGUAACUCGGCCAACAAACCAAGAUGGCCGCCAUGGCUAAAAAUAGAACAUGGGGGUAAAAUGCAGUUUUUGGCUUAUAACUCAAAAACCAAAGCAUUUAGAGCAAAUCUGAGAGGAGGUAAAAUUGUUGAUCAGGUCAUGAUCUAUCUGCCCUGGAAUUUUCAGAUGAAUCGGAUAAUCGGUUGUUAGGUUGCUGCCCCUGAAUUGGUAAUUUUGAGGACAUUUUGCUUUUUUUUUGUUAUUACCUUGAAUAUUAUUAUAGAUAGAGAUAAACUGUAAACAGCAAUAAUGUACAGCAAAGUAAGAACUAAAAAUAAGUCAGUAUGACCAAAAUAGUCAAUUGACCCACUAAGGAGUUAUUGCCCUUCAUAGUCAAUUUUUAACAAUUUUCUUAAAAUUUGAAGAUUUUCAAUAACAUUUUCCACAUAAAGUACUGUUAUAGAUAGAGAUAAUUGUAAGCAGCAAGAAUGUUUAGUAAAGUAAGAUCUACAAACACAUCAC